UGCCAGCCCGCCGCGGUAAUACGAAGGGUGCAAGCGUUACUCGGAGUCACUGGGCGUAAAGAGCGCGUAGGCGGGAUAAUAAGUCAGAUGUGAAAUCCUGUAGCUUAACUACAGAACUGCAUUUGAAACUGUUAUUCUAGAGUAUGGGAGAGGUAGGUGGAAUUCUUGGUGUAGGGGUAAAAUCCGUAGAGAUCAAGAGGAAUACUCAUUGCGAAGGCGACCUGCUGGAACAUGACUGACGCUGAUGCGCGAAAGCGUGGGGAGCAAACAGGAUUAGAUA
rnacentral:rRNA from 1 species